rnacentral:lncRNA from 1 species
AAAUCUCGCAUUUAAUCCUUGUUGCUUGGUUUAGAUCUUGUUAGUUUACUAGGCAGAAACAUUUCAUUUUCAUACAAAAAUUAUAUGUUUUGAAAUCUGAACCUAUUUCUUUUUUGGUCCAUUUUAAAAAGAAUGAUUCAUUUCUAAAUUUGGUAACAAUUUAGCUUAAACUUACAAUUCUACCCUUAAUAGUAGCUUUUAUAACCAUACAAAUACACUGACACCCUUUUUGACUUGUUUAGAAUUAUAAAUUCCAAUUUUUUUAUUUUUUUUAAACUUCGUAUCCAGUCAAACAUGUUACUUAAAUUGGAAUGGAGGGAGUAAUAAGAUGUGAGGUUCAUUUACAGAAAAAGGUUCCCCCUGAAUUUGGGACAGGAUAAAGGUGAGAAAAUGUCAGAUAAAUUUUUUAAAGAUUUUGAAGGCGUCAUGAAUGAGUAGUUUGGUUUAUAUCUUUAAUUUCAAAGAACUCGUGCCCCCCCCCCCCCCUCCUCCCUCCGUCUUCAAAUUUAUACUCGUCAAGUCUUUCACUCUCUUUCGUAUCCCUUUUUAAAAAAUUUAACAAGUUUCUAGAUUUAAAUUUUCAUUACUUUAUUUUAAUAUUGACAAAUAUCCUAGUAAAAAUUCUGACUUUUAUAUUGUCAUAAGUUAGACUAAUUUUUAUUUGCUUAUGAGCUUAUGGUCGUUUCAGACUGGUGGACCCAACUACAAUGUUCCUUUAGGAAGAAAAGACGGACUCAACUUUGCAACAGAACAAGCAACCUUAGACAACCUUGUUGCACCAUUUGCCAACACCACAGU